CAGUAGCCACGGGAAUACGGAGGGUGCAAGCGUUAAUCGGAAUUACUGGGCGUAAAGCGCACGUAGGCUGCUUUGUAAGUUAGAGGUGAAAGCCUGGUGCUCAACACCAGAACUGCCUUUAAGACUGCCGAGCUAGUAGGUGAGAGAGGUAAGUGGAAUUCCGAGCGUAGAGGCGAAAUUCGUAGAUAUUCGGAAGAACACCAGUGGCGAAGGCGGCUUACUGGCUCAUUCUAGACGCUGAGGUGCGAAAGCGUGGGGAGCAAACAGGAUUAGAUACCCCUGUAGUCCCUGUCUCUUAUAC
rnacentral:rRNA from 1 species